CCCUUAGAUGUUCUGGGCCGCACGCGCGCUACACUGACGAUGUCAACGAGUCUCUCCUUGACCGAAAGGUCUGGGUAAUCUUCUGAAACAUCGUCGUGCUGGGGAUAGAUCAUUGCAAUUUUUGAUCUUGAACGAGGAAUUCCUAGUAAGCGCGAGUCAUCAGCUCGCGUUGAUUACGUCCCUGCCCUUUGUACACACCGCCCGUCGCUACUACCGAUUGAAUGGUUUAGUGAGGACUCCUGAUUGGCGCCGCCGCCCCGGCAACGGAGCAGUGGACUGCCGAAAAGUUGUUCAAACUUGAUCAUUUAGAGGAAGUAAAAGUCGUAACA
rnacentral:rRNA from 1 species